UCUUAAAAUCAAUAACUUGACUGGUGACUUUUCGUGCUUAUUUUGAGUUCAAAUGACUUAAAAUAAGAAGAAAAGUAUGUACUUUAUACAUUUCUGAUGAUGAGCAUACUGUAUAUAGAUAAAAAUAAAUGAAUACAUUUUUUUAGAUAUUUAGAGCUUGUCAAUUCUCCCAUCCAUUCAGCUGCUACUCCAUUCAUGGCUCUGCUUGCUGAUGGCAAGCUGCAUGACCGGGAUUCGUAUAAACUUGAAAUAAAAGAGACUUUAAAAGGGAAAUCUAUCUUUAAGAUGCCUAAGCUUUUUUAUAAACAUGCUAAAGUAAACAGAGUAAAAUGUGUGGACCAAGUCUUACGUGAAGUGAGCCGUUCAGAAAAUCUUGAAUUGAGGAUUAUGAUGGGAGUUUAAGUAUUUAUAAUUUAAAUUUGUAAAGAGCGACUAAAACAAUCCAUCAAACCAUUGUCAAAAAAAUCAACCGCAUGUCCUUUGGGUUCAUUAUAUGAGUGAUUAGAAGUGUUUUUACAUGUGUGAAAGACUGAGUGUGUGUGUGUGUAUUUGUUGGAGGGUGUGUUAUGGUCUUUGCCAUGGUGACCACAGCUCUGGAAGUGGGCAUCGUGGGCUAAACGCUGUGUGGUCUUCUCCUGCUUCUCUCUCCUGAACGAAAUGGGACAGAAGGAGGUAAUGGAGGCUCACACUUUCAAAACAGUUGAUACAAAACACAGCGGUUGUCAAGGUAAAGUCAUCACUUUUUUACAGGAGCUCGUAACUGUGAAAUGGCACUCGCCCAUUCAUGGCCAGGUCUCUGUGUUCACCUGUGCAGUGUGUGGGUUUGAAGGACACUGUGGAUGAAGGAGGAGGAGGAGGAAGCUGAUUGGGUGUGUGGUUCUGAAAGGGGAACGUAGAAAUCGCCUCACCUGCAGAUGCGGAGUCUCGGGGCUAGGACCAGCAGACUGUGAGACAGCCCCAUCCAUCAGGCUGUGAGGAUGCUGAACUCUCUCCCUGCUCUACCCCCAUCUCAAUCCUCAAGCAGUACUAAAAUUUUGCACUAGAACACACACAGUACUGGAACUUUUCAAAACGGACCUGUACUACACACCCAAUACCUGUACUACUGCCUAAACUCGCACUGCAUUACUCACUUUAAUUCCCCAUAAACUGUGAACUUUAAGAACUUUACGCACUCAUUCACUUUACCAGCCUUAAGCUAUUAUACCAUAUUUGCACUACUGUUUUGUGAGUUCUGUUUGUACUUGUAUUGUCAUCCCAUCUUAAUCACCACCCAUCACUAUUGCUUUAUUGUCUUCUGUCUUACGUAUGUCUAUUUGUGUCCUUAUUGUUUUGUACGUAUAGUGUCUCCUAUUAUUUUAUAAUUUAUAUCUAUUUUCUGUAUUUGCUGAUUUUUUUUGGAAAGGAGAGUAAAGUAAUUUCAGUUCUCUGUACGUCCUGUACAUAUGCAGUAUUGACAAUAAAACUACUUGACUUGACUUAACUUGACUUGAGCUGGGCACAUAUUUAAAGGCCAGCUCAGACAACAGGGGCUGUUUCAACACUAAUCAUACUAGUGCUAAAAAAAGAUGCUAAAAUGCUAAAACGCUAACAAACUAAAAUGCUACAGUGUUCUCUUAUGUUUCUUUUGAUUGUGGUGGAUGGCAGGUUUGUCAAUAAAGGUAUUCUUUGAGUUUA